UACUUAUAAGCGCUGGUGGCCUAGCGGUAAGAGCGUGCGACUUGCAAUCCGGAGGUCGCGGGUUCGAACCCCGGCUCGUACCAAUGAGUUUUUCGGAACUUAUGUAUGAAAUAUCAUUUGAUAUUUACCAGUCGCUUUUCGGUCAGAUGGCAGUCGCUUUCGUAAAAACUAGUGCCUACGUCAAUUCUUGGGAUUCGUUGUCAAGCGGACCCCAGGCUCCCAUUAGCCGUGGCAAAAUGCCGGGAUAACGCGAGGAAGAA